UCCGGUCUGUGUGGAGAGCGACUUUGGUGCGUGAAGACGGCAAUGGCACCGAUUUGACAGGUUCAUUUUGAAGAAGAGAACAAGUUUAAAGACACAGACACACAGCAAGAAGGCGCAGGCAUGGCCACAGAGGGAACUUUGACGGAGGUUUCCACAACGGGAGUGUUCGCCCUUUCUUGCCAUAUCUUCCCCCCUCACACGGCCAGAGCAUCAGCACCUUGGCUUUAGACUGCUUACUGCUUAUACAGUGUCACAGUACAGUAACAGUCUACAGUCAUGGCUACUGAAGCCUGGCAAUGCAGCAAAACACCACACUGGCAACACGUGCGGAGGCCGUGCCGGAGUGAUGUCAACCCGAACGGAAAAAUAACAUCAUGGAAAAAGUGUUCAGUACGCUCUGUAUGUUAAAUAUUCCCUCUCCUGCUCCUCAGCUCAGUGAGGAAACCUGUGUGGGCUUGCAUUGGGGGGAGUCCUACACCAUGUAAGUACGUAAUAUCAGCGAGCGAACCAAUGAGACCUGCGGUUUCUAGUUACCAUAGCAACUCCGGCUCUCCGUCCACCCUGCUGUCUCCAUGGCGACCGUGGCUUUAGAUUGUUACUCUAGCAACAGCAGCAUGGUAACAGUCUACAGCCAUGGUCGUUAGGGGCAGGUGACAUCUGAAAUAUAAAAAGUUGUAUGUAUUAAUUGAGUUUGUUAGUAAUUUGAAAUGUUUGUGUUGAAAUGUUCUCAAUUUAGAAUGUCCGUUGCUCAUCUACAGACAUUACGGUCUGGAGGAGGAGAGUUGACAGAUUGACUUGUUUAUUGCUGCACCUUUCCCUUGAUAAUACAUCAAAACUGCAUUUA